AGGGAAGAAGUGGAAAAUUUGCGAUCUACGAAGAUCCAACGGUCGGAUCUUCAAUCUGUUUUCAGAAACGUGAUCCUUGCACUCGGAUCUACGUUCCUACCGAUUAUUUUAAGGUAUUUGAGCUUAUUGGAGCUUACUUGGGGCUACCCAAACUUUGGGUUGAAGUUUGGAGAACUUGGAUGAUGUCCAUUUGACUGCAGGUACACCUGACUUAGAGGAGGACCCCGUAGCUGCGUAUUUGGGAUAUUACGAUUGAAGCACACCGCGACAGUCGUAUUGAGUUGGACUAUGGAGUUCACUCUUUUAGGGUAUUUUGUAUAUGGCUAGUGACGUAGGUGUCACAUAUUCUUUUGUGUAGCCAUUCUUUUGUAUUAGUGGAUAACUGUAAGCCUUAAACUGUUAGACAAAUAUAUGGCUCUUUUGUAUGGACCUCAUGUAUAUUUAGAUGUGCUUUUCGUUAUGAGAUGUAACGUUAUGAUUA